CAUAGGUGCACCUUCUGCAGUGGACAAUAAAAGGCCAUUCUAAAAUGUGCAGUUUUGUCACACAACACAAUGCCACAGAUGUCUCAAGUUUUGAGGGAGUGUGCAAUUGGCGUGCUGACUACAGGAAUGUCAGAGCUGUUGUCAGAAUUUCAUUUUGAUUUAUCUACCGUAAGCCGCCUACAACAUCGUUUUAAAGAAUUUGGCAGUACGCUCAACCAGCCUCACAACCGGAGACUAGGUGUAACCAUGCCAGCCCAGGACCUCCACAUCCGGCUUCUUCACCUGCAGGAUCAUCUGUGUGCUCGUCAUCCUCACCAGGGUCUUGACCUGACUGCAGUUCGGCGUCAUAACCAACUUCAGUGAGCAAAUGCUCACCUUCGAUGGCCACUGGCACACUGGAGAAGUGUGCUCUUCAUGGAUGAAUCCCAGUUUCAGCUGUACCGGCCAGAUAGCGUCAUGUUGGCGAAUGGUUUGCUGAUGUCUACGUUGUGAACAGAGUGCCCCAUGGGGGCAGUGGGGUUAUGUUAUGGGCAGGCAUAAGCUAAGGACAACGAACACAGUUGCAUUUUCUUGAUGGCAAAUUGAAUGCACUUACAGUAGAUACCGUGACGAGAUCCUGAGGCCCAUUGUCGUGCCAUCCAUCCGCCGCCAUCAUCAUCUCAUGUUUCAGCAUGAUAAUGCACGGCCCCAUGUCGCAAGGAUCUGAACACAAUUCCUGGAAGCUGAAAUGUCCCAGUUCUUCCAUGGUCUGCAUACUCACCAACAUGUCAUCCAUUGAGCAUGUUUAGGAUGCUCUGUAUCAACGUGUAUGACAGCGUGUUCCAAUAUCCAGCAACUUCGCACAGUCAUUGAAGAGGAGUGGUACAACAUUUCACAGUCCACGAUGAACAGCCCGAUCAACAUGCGUGCUGCAUGAGGCAAAUGGUAGUCACACCAGAUACUGACUGUUUUUCCUGAUCCACGCCCCUACCUUUUUUUUAAAGGUAUCUGUGACCAACAGAUGCAUACCUGUAUUCCCAGUCAUGUGAUAUCCAUAGAUUCAGGCCUAAUUUAUUUAUUUCAAUUGACUGAUUUCCUUAAAUGAACUGUAAAUAUUAGAAAUUGUUGCAUGUUGAGUUUAUAUUUUUGUUCAGUGUAGCUCUGUAGCAUUAGCAUUCAGCUGCUCAUCUGUCCAGUAAUGAUCUGUGCACUGAUGGCCUGUCAUCUUCAGUCAGGGGCAGAGGAAGUGGAGGCCUGCCUCUCUGUUUCAUAAUAACUCACUGUUUAGUCAAUGAAUUGACAUUUACCUCUGUAUGAAGUCUCAAUCAGGGAUGGACUUUCACACAAGCUAACAGAUUACCCUGCGAGUUUGAGUCAGGCGUUUUUCAAUAGGUCAUCCUACCAAAAUGCCGUCCUUCCUCACACUAUACACUGAGUGUACAAAACAUUAGGAAGACAUUCUUAAUAUUGAGUUUCACUCCCUUUUGCCCUCAUUAACAGCCUCAUUUUUUCGGGCCAUGGACUCUACAAGGUGUCAAAAGCAUUCCACAGGGACGGUGGCAAGUGUUGACUCCAAUGUUUCCCACAGUUGUGUCAAGUUGGCUGGAUGUUCUUUGGGUGCCCUGACCAUUCUUGAUACACACAGGAAACUGUUGAGAGUCAAAAACCCAGCAGCGUUGCAGUUCUUGGCACACUCAAACCAGUGCACCUGGCACCUACUACCAUACCCUGUUCAAAGGCACUUCAAUAUUUUGUCUUGAUCUUUCAACCUCUGAAUGGCACACAUACACAAUCCAUGUCUCAAUUGUCUCAAGGCUUGAAAAUCCUUCUUUAACCGGUCUCCUCCCCUUCAUCUACACUGAUUGAAGUGGAUUUAACAAGGGACAUCAUGUCUAUGUCAUGGAAAGAGCCAGUGUUCCUAAUGUUUUGUACACUUCGUGUAGAACGGAUGCUAACCACAGGAGGUUGGUGGCACCUUAAUUAGGGAGGACGGGCUCAUGGUAAUGGCUGGAGUGGAAUUAGUGGAAUGGUAUCAAAUACAUCAAACAAUGGUUUCCAUGUGUUUGAUGCCAUUCCAUUUCCUCCAUUCCAGACAUUAUAAUGAGCCGUAAUCCCCUCAGCAGCCUCCUGUGAUGCUAAGUACCCUGUUUGGUAAUCAGGCCGCCACUUUCAGUCAGCUAACAUGGAUGGAUAAGUGCCUUUUUUUUGAGGCAAUGAUUGUCUUUUUCAUAAUAACAUAAACCAUCAAAGAGAAAUUCCAAAUCCAUCAGACUAAAUAAUGUUUCAUACAUUAUACAUGAAGUGAUCUGUGAACAUUCUAUGUUAAGUUAAUGUGAUUCAUGCAGUAACAUUUAAUGUUUGUUUUUGUAUAUAAGUAUUUAGCGAAAGGGUUACUGUGUUCCAGGUAAGACAGUAGAUAGUGAUAGUGAGAGGGUUACUGUGUUCCAGGUGAGACAGUAGAUAGUGAUAGUGAGAGGGUUACUGUGUUCCAGGUGAGACAGUAGAUAGUGAUAGUGAGAGGGUUACUGUGUUCCAGGUGAGACUGUAUAUAGUGAGAGGGUUACUGUGUUCCAGGUGAGACAGUAGAUAGUGAGAGGGUUACUGUGUUCCAGGUGAGACAGUAGAUAGUGAGAGGGUUACUGUGUUCCAGGUGAGACUGUAUAUAGUGAGAGGGUUACUGUGUUCCAGGUGAGACUGUAUAUAGUGAGAGGGUUACUGUGUUCCAGGUGAGACUGUAUAUAGUGAUAGUGAGAGGGUUACUGUGUUCCAGGUUAGACAGUAGAUAGUGAUAGUGAGAGGGUUACUGUGUUCCAGGUUAGACAGUAGAUAGUGAGAGGGUUACUGUGUUCCAGGUUAGACAGUAGAUAGUGAGAGUGAGAGGGUUACUGUGUUCCAGGUGAGACAGUAGAUAGUGAUAGUGAGAGGGUUACUGUGUUCCAGGUUAGACAGUAGAUAGUGAUAGUGAGAGGGUUACUGUGUUCCAGGUCAGACAGUAGAUAGUGAUAGUGAGAGGGUUACUGUGUUCCAGGUGAGACAGUAGAUAGUGAGAGGGUUACUGUGUUCCAGGUCAGACAGGACAAAAAGGAGACCCUGGAGUUGAUGGCCAGACUGGAGCCAAGGGAGAAGCAGGGGAACCAGGAUUCGAAGGGGAUUCACCUUACUCCUACUGACCCCAAACCUUAAGAUCAAUCUAAACCCCAAUAGGAAAUGUGACAUAAUUACUGAUCUUUCAUGUCAUAACAAUGCAUUUAGUAGUCUGUGGUUCUUAUUAAUGCUCAUAUCCACUGGCAAACAGAGUUCUCUUGUAGUUCUACCACUAAUGAUCUCCAUACAGUACAUCAACUCAAUAAUAAGUCACUGUUUCAGGUGAAGAUGGUACCACUGGGCAACAAGGACCAGCUGGAACACCAGGUAGACCCAGUAGUACUAACAUGGAACCAGUCCAGUAGUACUAACAUGGAAUACAACUCAAGCUGUGGCGUUAUGAGAAAAUGGUGGAUAAGUUGACUGUUUACCAUGGCAGUUACCCAUGCAUCAACACUAACUUUAAUCAGCUCCUUGGUGGACAGGUAGGACCGUGAUAUUAGUGUGUUCUUUUAGUCUGAGAGACAGAGGCUAGAUUAAUUAUUGACAGUGUCACAUGGGCCAGUUCUACAGGUGGAGCUGGAUGAUUUAGUGUUAGGGACAUUGAAUAUUACCCCCUCUCUCACCCCAUCCAUCACAGAGGAAACGUGCGUCGUGUACUUGAUGUCCCAAAGCCAGUCCAAAUAAAGUAUGCUUUGAUACAUAUUUGAUUAGCUGAACUUGCUCCGGGACUUUGCAUUUUUUUAAUUGCUUAAAAAACUAGCCCUGACUCUUGAAAAGUUUUAGGGAGGGGGGAGGUGUUAAUGAAUUUAAAAAUAGUGUAGGAUGAAUGGUUAAAACUGCUGCUGCCCAGGCAGAGACUCUUCUUUUUCUCUCAGUAGGCUGAUGAUCACAAGGCCCUAUUCUCUUACGCCCUGGAAUAAGUAGAAGAUGGACUCAAACUCCCCUUUUUAGUUAACAGAGUCAUAAAUAAUGCCCAAUAAUGUUUGGACCCUGUUUUGUGUUGCUACCAUGUCGUGCUGCUGCCAUGUUGUGUUGCUACCAUGUUGUUGUCAUGAUUUGUUGCUACCAUGUCGUGCUGCUGCCAUGUUGUGUUACUACCAUGUUGUUGUCAUGUUGUGUUGCUACCAUGUCGUGCUGCUGCCAUGUUGUGUUGGUACCAUGUUGUUGUCAUGUUGUGUUGCUACCAUGCUGUGUUGUCAUGUGUUGCUGCCAUGCUAUGUUAAUGUCUUAGGUCUCUCUUUAUGUAGUGUCGUGUUAUUUCUCUUGUCGUGAUGUGUGUUUUGUCCAUUAUUUGUAUUUAUUUUUAAUCCCAGCCCCCGUCCCCGCAGGAGGCCUUUUGCCGUUUUGGUAGGCCAUCAUUGUAAAUAAGAAUUUAUUCUUAACUGACUUGCCUAGUUAAAUAAAGAUUAAAUAAAUAAAAAAUGCAUUAAAAUAAAAAUAAAAUUUCCCUCAUCAUGACUGGCUCAAGUGUUGUAACAUUUCCAGGCAUAGUUCCACAUUUCUGUCACAGCUGUCGUGGAAGAGAGAAUGGGACCAAGGCGCAGCGGGUUGCGUGCUCAACAUAUUUAUUAAAUAAAAUGAGAACACCACGGAAAAACAAUAAACAAACUAACGACAGGAACAGAGCCGCAGGCUCAACAAAAGCAGUGCUCUCAAACAACUACCCACAAGUGACAAACAAAAACACACACCUAUUUAUAGGACUCCCAAUCAGAGGCAACUAGAAACACCUGCCUCCAAUUGAGAGUCCAGCACCCAACCUACACAUAGAAAAACUAACCUAGAAUAUACACAUAGAAAUACAAACAUAGACCAGUGACCAAAAACCCCGUAAUACAUAAAUAAACUACCCUCUGCCACAUCCUGACCAAACUACAAUAACAAAAUAUCCUCUAUACUGGUCAGGACGUGACAAUUUCAGCCUUCUCAGUUUCUGUUCCGGUUGUCACAGUAAUAUACAGAAACGACAUAUGUACGAUCUUAAUUUGAGCCAGUUCACAACAGCAGGAAAAUAAUCCUGCAGAAACAGGAAAUGUGAAUUAUUAUGUGGAUUAUAAUUAAUGGACAUUAUUUGUAGGGGUUGAUACAUUUUUCUUGAGGGGAAAAACAAGUCUCACAAUUUAAAGUGUAAAUUACAAACUUUAGAAGCCUUUUUAAACCUUGAAUACACUACAAGUUCGCAUUUUGUGCUAUGCAGGAAAAUUCUCAGCAACAAAAGAGUGAUCAAAUUAAGAUUCUACAUCUGUAUAUCACCAGAUCAUCAUUGUGAAAUUUGUCCAUUUCAGUUAAAAGUGCUGAGUGAAUGCAUUCACAACUGGAAAUACAGCUAGUUUAGUUUACUUGCUUCACCCAUAUACAGUUUAUUUGUUUCUUGUUACACACACAGUACAGCUGUCGGAUCUUAAUUUGAGCCAGUUGUCUACAGCAGGAAAAUGAUCCUGCAGAAAGAGGAAAUGUGAAUUAUUAUGUGAAUUUUAUUUAAUGGACAUUUUUGUAGGGGUUAUUUGUAAUUUGUUACGACAAAUCAAGUCUGAAACUUCAAGGUGGAAAUUUCUAAAUGUAGAAGCCUUUUGUAAAACUCAAAUACACUACAAGUUUGCAUUUCCUGCUGUACCGGACAAUUAUAAUUAAGAUCCUACAUCUGUAAUACUGUAGUUAUGUUAAAUCUUAGGUGUGUAAUGCGUAUGUAUGUACAGUUGAAGUCGGAAGUUUACAUACCCUUAGGUUGGAGUCAUUAAAACUCGUUUUUCAACCACUCCACAAAUUUCUUGUUAAUUAACUAUAGUUUUGGUAAGUCGGUUAGGACAUCUACUUUGUGCAUGACACCAUUAAUUUUUCCAACAAUUGUUUACAGACAGAUUAUUUCACCUAUAAUUCCCUGUAUCACAAUUCCAGUGGGUCAAAAGUUUACAUACAAUAAGUUGACUGUGCCUUUAAAUUGCUUGGAAAAUUCCAGAAAAUUAUGUCAUGGCUUUGGAAGUUUCUGAUAGGCUAAUUGACAUCAUUUGAGUCAAUUGGAGGUGUACUUGUGGAUGUAUUUCAAGGCAUAUCUUCAAACUCAGUGCCUAUUUGCUUGACAUCAUGGGAAAAUCAAAAGAAAUCAGCCAAGACCUCAGAAAAAAAAUUGUAGACCUCCGCAAGUUUGGUUCAUCCUUGGGAGCAAUUUCCAAACGUCUGAAGGUA
rnacentral:lncRNA from 1 species